UGUCAAGCCUAAUUUAACUCAUGCUUACUGCAGGAUUGUAUGGUUGCUUGGUCUACCCUGUGACCGUGUGGCUUAUGCUAUUGUGACUCAAAUUAAAGCAAUGGGCUCAUACAAGCUCUUGAGCCCAGCGGUUCCGGGUUUGAUCCAGGCCAAUCACACCUCUGGGUCUGGACAGUUUGAGAGCGUUAACUUUACCAUCAUUGGAACAUCCAUGGGGAUGGGCUGCCAUGUUGAAGGUUCGUCCAUGUCCUCUUUCUGGUACAGCCUCUUUGAUAAUGGAACCAACUACUGC